CGAGGCAUCACAAGUGAAGUGGAUGGACCUUUUUUGCUCGGCAUCAUUGCCGAGUAUUGAAAAUCUCACAUAAAAAAGGAGCAAAUAGGCCCUGACCAAAGAAAUAACCAAGUUCUUUUUUUUUCCUUCUUUAUUUUUUUUAAAAAAAGAAAGCACACAUUACUAUAAAGAGGGAGAAAAACCACCUUUCAGAAGAACCUGUCACUGGAUGUCACCAAAGUUCCAUGAAUUUGCAGGCAAAACAGCACUAUUUUAUCAAUAAAACUCAAGAGUCUUAAAAAAGCUCCGGGACGUCAGCUCUUCAGCUCUCAUUGGAGAGACAGGCUUUGAAGUUACUGUCCAAGCUGGCUUUCUUCUUUUAAACUCAACAUUAUUGCAAACUCAGUAGAU